GAUGAACGCUGGCGGCGUGCUUAACACAUGCAAGUCGAACGGUGAAGCCGGAGCUUGCUCUGCUGGAUCAGUGGCGAACGGGUGAGUAACACGUGAGCAAUCUGCCCCUGACUCUGGGAUAAGCGCUGGAAAAGGCGUCUAAUACUGGAUACGAGCUGCGAAGGCAUCUUCAGCAGCUGGAAAGAAUUUCGUUCAAGGAUGAGCUCGCGGCCUAUCAGCUUGUUGGUGAGGUAAUGGCUCACCAAGGCGUCGACGGGUAGCCGGCCUGAGAGGGUGACCGGCCACACAGGGACAGGGACACGGCCCAGACUCCUACGGGAGGCAGCAGUGAGAAAUAUUGCACGAUAGGCGAAAGCCUGAUGCAGCAACGCCGCGUGAGGGACGACGGCCUUCGGGUUGUAAACCACUUUUAGCAGGGAAGAAGCGAAAGUGACGGUACCUGCAGAAAAAGCGCCGGCUAACUACGUG
rnacentral:rRNA from 1 species